rnacentral:rRNA from 1 species
UCGCCACGGGAAUACCAGCUCUCCGAGUGGUGGGGACGUUUAUUGGGCCUAAAAGCAUCCGUAGCCGGCCGGACAAGUUCCCCGUUAAAUCCAACGAUUCAAUCGUUGGACUGCGGGGAAUACUGUCUGGCUGGGGGGCGGGAGAGGCCGACGGUAUUCCCGGGUAGGGGUGAAAUCCUAUAAUCCCGGGAGGACCACCAGUGGCGAAGGC